rnacentral:lncRNA from 1 species
AUCUAUCCUAAGAGGAUGAAUUAUAUCCGUAGAUCAUGACUCGUCUCUACAUCGUCAUAAGCUAUUCAAAGAUCUAAAUUAUAGACUAAUCAAUAAGCAUAAUACUUAUAGUAAUGAAAAAGAAAUUUUAUUCAUGCAAGAAAAGAUCAUUACAAUCAAGAUUUAAUUUUAUGACAAAGAAACUAAAAUAUAAACAUUAAAAAGAACCUCAUAUACUCUCCUGGAGACUCAGAGUUUAGCCGUGCAUGGUGUCUGCAAGCAUCAUCUUCAU